GAUGAACGCUGGCGGCGUGCUUAACACAUGCAAGUCGAACGAAGCACUUUAUUACGAUUUCUUCGGAAUGACGAUUUAGUGACUGAGUGGCGGACGGGUGAGUAACGCGUGGGUAACCUGCCUUAUACAGGGGGAUAACAGUUGGAAACGACUGCUAAUACCGCAUAAGCGCACGGUAUCGCAUGAUACAGUGUGAAAAACUCCGGUGGUAUAAGAUGGACCCGCGUCUGAUUAGCUAGUUGGUGAGGUAACGGCCCACCAAGGCGACGAUCAGUAGCCGGCCUGAGAGGGUGAACGGCCACAUUGGGACUGAGACACGGCCCAGACUCCUACGGGAGGCAGCAGUGGGGGAUAUUGCACAAUGGGGGAAACCCUGAUGCAGCGACGCCGCGUGGAGGAAGAAGGUUUUCGGAUUGUAAACUCCUGUCGUUAGGGACGAUAAUGACGGUACCUAACAAGAAAGCACCGGCUAACUACGUG
rnacentral:rRNA from 1 species